GACGAACGCUGGCGGCGUGCUUAACACAUGCAAGUCGAACGAUGAAGCCGGAGCUUGCUCUGGUGAAUUAGUGGCGAACGGGUGAGUAACACGUGAGUAACCUGCCCUUGACUCUGGGAUAACUGCGGGAAACUGUAGCUAAUACCGGAUACGACCCUCGGAGGCAUCUCCUGGGGGUGGAAAGAAUUUCGGCCAAGGAUGGACUCGCGGCCUAUCAGCUAGUUGGUGAGGUAAAGGCUCACCAAGGCGACGACGGGUAGCCGGCCUGAGAGGGUGACCGGCCAGACUGGGACUGAGACACGGCCCAGACUCCUACGGGAGGCAGCAGUGGGGAAUUUUGGACAAUGGGGGCAACCCUGAUCCAGCAAUGCCGCGUGAGUGAAGAAGGCCUUCGGGUUGUAAAGCUCUUUUGUCAGGGAAGAAACACCGGCUCUAACACAGUCCGGGAAUGACGGUACCUGAAGAAUAAGCACCGGCUAAC
rnacentral:rRNA from 1 species